GAACCACUAGAUCACGAUUUAUCCACGGGCUGUUGCGGUUUUUUAUACGCAUCUUUUUGUUUGGGGCAUGUUUGUUGAUUACAGCAGUUAAAAUAUCUUUAAACAACAACCAUGCAUCAUGCACUGUAGGAAUCAGACUAACUCUAUACCAAUUUACAUGAUUCAAAUCAUGUAAGAAGGCUUGAGCAUCAAAAUUUUUCAGAAUACUUUUAGUAGCGACUACGACAGGUUGUUUGACAGAAAGUUGUUUUCUAACACAGGCAAUGAAACAGUGGUCGCUGAGAUCAUUGCAAAAAACAUCCGAUAGGUACAUGUGUGGGGCGUUUGUAAACACAACAUCUAUCAAAGUGGCGUUGUCACAACCUUUUGGGUUAUAUCUAUUGGGUAGGUUUAUGAUUUGAUGAAGGUUUAAGCAACCAAAUUGUUGUACAACUUUCUCAGGGGGUUUAAGUAUGUCCCAGUUUAGAUCACCAAGUAUGAUCAACUCGGACCUAGUGAAAGGUGCAAGAGCAUUGCUCAAGGCUUCUAUGGUACAUGCUGGUGCAGAUGGAGGGCGAUAGCAGCCAGCCACAGAUAAAGAAAAGCUGUUUGAUAAUUUCAUGUUAAGAACAAGAAGAUCAUACUGUUUGGGUAUAGACUUUGCCAGGGCUAUACUACAUUGAAGGUAUUCUUUAGUGAAAAUUGCCACCCCCCCACCCUUAGAUGACCUAUCCUGCCGAAACAGGUUGUAACCAGAUAGAUACAGGUCAGGAUAGAGAAUAGAGUUACGCAACCAUGUCUCAGUAAUUACUAAAACGUCAGGGUUAGAACUCUCAACCCAUACUUUAAGCUGGUCCAGUUUAGGUAAUAUGCUUCUUGCUUUUACAUGCAAAAACCCAAGGUUAUGAUGAUUACAAAAAUCAUCAAAGCAUAUGUUUUUUGAGGCCACAUGAUCUGUAGGGAAAACAACACCAGAAAGAACAUCAGAAGAAGGGCCAGGGUGGACAUGAACAUUACCAGAGAUCAUAAGCAAUAAUAUAAUUAAGACCCGACAGAGCACAGCUGAGGAACUACAGUAAUGUUGUUUUAACAAUACAGUUGUAUGCAGUUUGUUGGGUAAUGCAAUAAUAUUAAUGAGCUUUCUCAUAAUAAAACAUGACAGCAGAGCCGGAGUGAUGGAAAAUUUGUCAGGCAUUAACCCAAAAGUCCGUAAUAUCAUUAUAGAGGCAGAGUCUCGAUCAUUUGAAUAGACUUUGUUUGUUUUACUGCCUAAAUGAGAAAGGCCAUUUUGUUUGAUUGCACAAGUAACGCAAGGAACUGAGAGACAUGAAAAAAGUGUGGAGAGAAUGCAAAAUAGUUUGAGUAUAUCCAUGGUUCAACAGAGAACAGAGAAAGACAAAAAGCCUAUGAAAAGACCUUAUUCCAGAGUGGCAUGCACUUACUUCGAUGCAAUGAACUGUCAAUUUUCCAGGUAGAGCGACACAGCUAACCAGCUAGGCAUCCAUAUUUGCAUGCAGCUAGCUAAUGUCCUUAGCUCCCGAAUAUUGGCCUCAAACCAGGUGGAGUAGGCCGAGAUCCUCACCCAGCAAACAGGUAGACAACAGACCAGGUGGAGUAGGCCGAGAUCCUCACCCAGCAAACAGGUAGACAACAGACCAGGUGGAGUAGGCUGAGAUCCUCACCCAGCAAACAGGUAGACAACAGACCAGGUGGAGUAGACCGAGAUCCUCACAUAGCAAGCAGGUAAACAACAGACCAGGUGGAGUAGGCCGAGAUCCUCACACAGCAAGCAGGUAGACAACAGACCAGGUGGAGUAGACCGAGAUCCUCACAUAGCAAGCAGGUAAACAACAGACCAGGUGGAGCAGGCCGAGAUCCUCACACAGCAAGCAGGUAGACAACAGACCAGGUGGAGUAGGCCGAGAUCCUCACACAGCAAGCAGGUAGACAACAGACCAGGUGGAGCAGGCCGAGAUCCUCACACAGCAAGCAGGUAGACAACAGACCAGGUGGAGUAGGCCGAGAUCCUCACUCUGAGCUGCUCAGUGCUCAGCACUAAAUUGGAGCCUGUGGUGAAACUGAUUCAUUGCUCUCAGCUGUUCUUGAGACAUUUUUCAAGAUUUUUAGUCAAAUAAAAAUAUAAAACAAAAAAAA